rnacentral:tRNA from 1 species
ACUAUUUUGGCAGAUAAGUGCAUUAGAUUUAGAAUCUAUUAAUGUGAAAUUAUAUUUACAAGUAGUA